rnacentral:lncRNA from 1 species
AAAUAUUUUGGUUUUCCUAUCUACUCAGAAAGAGUGAGGAAAAUGAACUACAAUUUCAUUGUGGAGAAGGUUUACAUAAGUUGAGUGCAUGGAAAGCAAACACCUUAUCCCAAGAGGGUUGACUCAUUCUUAUUUAAUCCACAAUUGUAACUAUUUCCCUCUACUACAUGCUAAGUAGAAUGCUACCUUUGAAUAUGAAGGAGCUAUUAGAUCAAAACAAUAGGAAUUUCCUCUAGAAAGCAUUAAAAACUUUGAGGAAUGUAAUCACUGAAUUUUGUCCGGCUCGAUUUCGUUUUUUUUUUAAAUUUAAAAAAAAAAUACAAAAACAAAAAAAUUACAUCUUGAUCCCUAAUAUUUUGUAAAUUACACUUGGGCCCUAAACUUUCUCGAAAUUACACUUUAGCCCUAUAUUUUCCUAAAAUUGUAUUUUUACCCCAGAAACUUUGCGCCCUCUACAAUUUAGUCCUUCUAGACUUGUCAAAUCAACAAAUCGGCAGUCGAGCUACUCCAGCAGCCUCCCUAGGCCAUGAUUGCUCCACUGCCACCUGCAAACAAAGAGAAAGAACACAAAGUGAGCAGAUUAAAAGGAAGAAAUUGAAAGGGAAGAGGGGGUUCUUAAAUUUCAAAAUCAAAAAAGAAAAAGGCAGAGAAAACUCAAAAAAAAAAUCAAACAACAGCAGCCCAAAAGCCAUCGCCACCGUCGCGCCAUUACCCCGCCACCGCAACCACCGCACCACCACCUAGAAGCCAAGGGAAACCGAAACAAAAAGAAAAGAAAAACAACAAGCAACACGAAAAUAAAAAUUAAGUAAAAAACAGCAACCAAAUAGAAAGGGAGGGAGAAAAGAAGUAAAGGAAAGGAGAAAGGGAGAAGGAAAAGGGAAGAGGGGAGCCAUCCAUAGCCACUGAGGGCGGAGGAGUUUGGCGCAAAGGACGGCUACGGCGUGGGGCAAAGGUGUGACCCGAAGAAGAAGAAGAAAAAGAAAGAAAAAAGAAGGAGAAAAAGAGAGAAAAAAGGAAAGAAAAAAAAAAAGAAAAUCUACAGUCGGGUCAACCCAACCCGACCACCCGACGACCCGACCCGACCCGGAUCCGAUCCAAGCUGCAGCAGCCACCAGCGGCAGUCUAAUAGCAGACUGAAUUAGGCCCAGCAGCAGUGGCGGCCCAAGCAGCAGGAGGAAGGAAGCAGCAGGCCUCCAGUAGAUCCAUUGUGCAGGCCCAACCCAGGCCCAGCAGCAGCAAGCCUCCAGGCUCAGCAGCAGCAGGCCGAACAGGCCCCCUUCGGCCCAGCGCCCAGGCCCGAAUCCGGCAGCCCAACAUCCAGCAAAAAAAAAAGGAAAGAGAAGAAAAAAAAAGGGAAAAGAAGAAAAGGGCCC